UCCUACGGGAGGCAGCAGUGGGGAAUAUUGGUCAAUGGUCGGGAGACUGAACCAGCCAAGCCGCGUGAGGGAUGAAGGUACAGAGUAUCGUAAACCUCUUUUGUCAGGGAACAAAGGCGGGGACGUGUCCCCGGAUGAGUGUACCUGAAGAAAAAGCAUCGGCUAACUCCGUGCCAGCAGCCGCGGUAAUACGGAGGAUGCGAGCGUUAUCCGGAUUUAUUGGGUUUAAAGGGUGCGCAGGCGGUCUGUUAAGUCAGCGGUCAAAGCCCGGGGCUCAACCCCGGCCCGCCGUUGAAACUGGCAGG
rnacentral:rRNA from 1 species